ensembl:lncRNA
CUGGCCUUUACCACAGGAUAAGGAUGGAACAUUAUAACAGUGGAGCACGCCCAAAGAGAGACAGGCAUCCACCACGUCAUCUAGAUGAUUACGAAUUGGACUAUCAGAGAAGUAAAUCCCGAAAUACACAUUACUCGAGCACAGUACCGUACGAACAUGGGCGAGAAGAGGAUGAGUAUCAACAGCUGGAGGGAGUAGCCGAGAUGACCUCUCUCACUCAUUAUAAUCAUUCACCUCAUCCACGCCGAGGUAAGAGAUAUCAAGAAGUGCAGUAUAGCCCCUUUCUCUUCCAUCAGGAGUUGCAGACGAUAAGGGAGGAGAACAUGCAGCUUCAUGAAUCUCAGGCAGCCAUGCAUAGGGAUUUUGAGCAGCUUCGCUCACUCAGAGGAGAUGUGAGGUUGCUUGUGGACACAGUGCGAAGCCUUCAGGAAACAAAGGCAGCUACAGUUAGUCACGCCCCCAUGAGGUCCCUUAAUCAACAGCCAGGUCCAGAUGAGUGGCCUAACUACCUACCUCCACCUGCUCAUGCUCCACCCCCAGCAGAAGAACAACAUGAAGAAGAAGAGGAAUGGCCAGAACCCCCACCACCAUGGCCAGAGCCCGAAGAGCAGCCUCAACGGAAUGAGGUGGCAGACCUCCUGGACAAAGUGAUGCACGAGCUCCAGGAAAUCAGGCUGAGUACCUCCUCCGUUGCUCCUACCCAGAGCCGAGCAGCAGCUAUGAGUGCUCUUCCAUCAGAUGGGGAAUGUCCAUACCAGGUUGGCCGACUCCUUAAACCGCCAGGUUAUGGAGAGCCUCAGUAUCAUCCUCCACUGUCCAGCUCCACACCAAUUCAGCACCAGCCGAGCCUGCAGCGUGCUAUACCGACAGUAAAGGGAGCUCCGCUUCAACCAGAGUACCCGAGGCUAGAUGCACCUGCCCAUAAGCCAGGGCCUGCAGAACCACCACACAGGCAGUCCUACAGUGAACCCUCUCGAUCAGAGUCAGCCUACAGGGGUCCCAGGCCAACUAUUCCGAACUUCCACCAGCGAGACCCGAGUCAGUUCGCUCGCUUAAAGAUAGCACUAGAGAACCUGUUACCAGCUGAUGCAACAGAGCUCUUCAAAUAUCAGAUUCUAACAGACCACCUGAAGUUGGAAGAGGCGUGUCUAGUGGCAGAUUCCUACCUCCACUCCCCCACUCCAUAUACAGACACUAUGGCUGCUCUGAAUGAGAAGUUUGGACAGCCUUACCAGGUUGCACUGAAUAAGAUAGCCAGCGUUAUGAACUCACCUGAUAUCCGUCGUGGUGACACUGCCAACUUCGAGAGGUUUGCCUUACAGGUUCAGUCGUUGGUGGGAAUGUUGAAGACGCUUGGUCAAGCAGGUGAGAGUGAAUUGAGAUGUGGAUCACAUGUAGCACGCCUACUCAGUAAGCUACCGCUAGAAAUGAGGUCAGACUUCCGGCGUUGUAUGUUCCGCAAUCCAGGAACUACGUACACGCUCCAAGAUUUAGCAGACUGGCUCCAGUAUGAGACAUGGUGUCAAGACUUUGGUGGCACCACACCUAACAAAGGGCUGAAAGAAAACCAGGGACGGAGGUUAGAGGGACGUUAUGGAAACCGUACGACGUCUGUCUUCCAUGGAGCUAAGGAUGUAGAGGGAAAGGGAGUUACCCCCUAUGCCCCUUCAGAGAAGAGGAAUGCUAAGGGAAAGGCGUAUUGCCCUUACUGUGACAAUGAAGCCCAUUACCUCAAUCAGUGUUCAGCCAUUCAGAAGCUGAACAAAGCCCAAAUCACUGAAUGGAUACGGGCCAACAAGAAAUGCUGGCGCUGCGGACGGUCUCACCAGGCUGCGCAGUGUACCCUUAAGAAGCUCUGUGGCCUCUGCCAAGGCAAACACUUGCAAGUUCUUCAUGAGGUUAACAGCAGAGCACCUAAGGAGGAGUCAGCAGAGACAAGUUGCCUUGUAAACACACCCACCGAGGUACUUUACCUAGAUCGACCAACUGACUGUAAUCGUGUGCUGCUGAAGGUAAUUAAGGUGAUCCUGCGUAACGGAAAGCACACCCUUGACACUUAUGCCAUACUAGAUGACGGGUCAGAGCGCACAAUGCUUCUUUCCGCUGCAGCAGAGAAGCUGGGUCUAGAAGGGACACCAGAAAAUCUUGCCCUCAGAACUAUUCGGCAGGAUGUCCAGACACUGCAGGGGGCAGCUGUAGCAUUCAGUGUAUCUCCCGCCUCACAGCCUAAGAAGAGAUUCCGUAUCAAUAGAGCCUUUACAGCUGCUCGUCUGGGACUGUCAGACCAUUCCUAUCCAGUGGCUAGUCUUCAGAAAAGGUACAGGCACCUGGCAGGUCUCUCCCUACAGCAGUUCGAUAACGCCAGACCACUCAUCCUCAUUGGUGCGGAUCACCCACAUCUCAUUACCCCCAUUGAGCCAGUGAAGUUUGGUCCUCCAGGUGGACCAGUCGCUAUCAGAACUAGACUGGGGUGGACAUUACAGGGCCCGGCACGGAUAGUGGAGCAACAACUACGGCCGCAGCAGUGUCUCUUAACGUCCACCGUUCCUACUAACAUAGAACUCCUCCGAAAUG